rnacentral:rRNA from 1 species
CCUUCUUUUUCCCUCUUUCCUCUUCCUUCCUGGGCGUAAAGCGUGCGCAGGCGGUUUUGUAAGACAGAGGUGAAAUCCCCGGGCUCAACCUGGGAACUGCCUUUGUGACUGCAAGGCUGGAGUGCGGCAGAGGGGGAUGGAAUUCCGCGUGUAGCAGUGAAAUGCGUAGAUAUGCGGAGGAACACCGAUGGCGAAGGCAAUCCCCUGGGCCUGCACUGACGCUCAUGCACGAAAGCGUGGGGAGCAAACAGGA